CAGACAAUAAGUUAACAAAACUCCUUAUUUUGGAAAUAAAAAUUCACGAUCUGUGUUGUCUGA
rnacentral:tRNA from 1 species